UACCAGGCAAACUGUGUCCUCCUUAGG
rnacentral:piRNA from 1 species